rnacentral:tRNA from 1 species
GGCGGAGUAGCUCAGUUGGUUAGAGCGAUGGAAUCAUAAUCCACAGGUCGGGGGUUCGAAUCCCUCCUCCGCUACCA